rnacentral:rRNA from 1 species
CCUGGCUCAGAACGAACGCUGGCGGCAGGCUUAACACAUGCAAGUCGAGCGAGACCUUCGGGUCUAGCGGCGGACGGGUGAGUAACGCGUGGGAACGUGCCCUUCUCUACGGAAUAGCCCCGGGAAACUGGGAGUAAUACCGUAUACGCCCUUUGGGGGAAAGAUUUAUCGGAGAAGGAUCGGCCCGCGUUGGAUUAGGUAGUUGGUGAGGUAACGGCUCACCAAGCCGACGAUCCAUAGCUGGUUUGAGAGGAUGAUCAGCCACACUGGGACUGAGACACGGCCCAGACUCCUACGGGAGGCAGCAGUGGGGAAUCUUAGACAAUGGGGGCAACCCUGAUCUAGCCAUGCCGCGUGAGUGAUGAAGGCCUUAGGGUUGUAAAGCUCUUUCAGCUGGGAAGAUAAUGACGGACCACAAAGA